rnacentral:misc_RNA from 1 species
UCCUCAAUAACAAAUUAGUUUAGAUUCAACUACAUGAAUCUUUUUUUUUCUGUCAUUCAAUUUUAUUAGAUACAAAGUCUGCAUCAAUAUUAAAAACUCAUAACCUUCAAAUACUAUUUUCCUCCGCAUCAUUUCAGGCCUCCCAUACCCUUUCUCACUUACAUUCCCUAACUAAUUUAUCACCUCUUGGAUUUAUUUGCAUUUCCCUGGGUCUAUUUGCAUUUACAAAAUUUAUAAUCUGCUUCUCAUAGGAACCCAAUUUCUCCUUGAAACGUGGCGAAAUAUCAUGUUUUGAAACCUGUAAGAAUGCUAUU